CCAAGCCUCCUUUGCGCCUGCGCGUGGAGCUCCUUCUCUUCCUGUGCUUCCAGCUCCAAAGAAAUGGAUCUCUGGAUCUCUCUCUGGAUCCGUCUGCAGUUUCGCUCCAGGCUAAGGAAUCAUGGAAGUUCUGUUGGUGAGUGUGCACAGAAGUCCAAAUAUACUCUUAAUCACCAUCAUCAUCUUAAUCAUCCUCGCCCUGUUGCGGACGUCCUUUCGCAACAGGGCACAGGGAGUAAACUUUGGAAACUCUGGCCAAACAUGGACAAAGUAAGAAUGUCAUAGGAAAGGCCACCCAGAAAGACCAGCUGCAGAGCAUUCCCCCUGAAAGCACUAUAACCAUCAUCAUCAUCUUUGUGAGUAUGUUUUUAUGUGUUUAUAUGUUUUAAAUAUACCUUGUUGUUGUAUUUUGUGGUGUAUUUUGGGCUUCGUCCCCUUCGGGGAGAUGGGGAGGGAUACAAGAAUAAAGUUGUUGUUGUUGUUGUUGUUAUAUAAACAUGUAAAACAAAGCAUAUAAAAUACAAUGAAAACAUACUCAAGUGACCUAUUAUUAUUAUUAUUAUUAUUUAUUCAUUCAUUUAUUUCUAUCUCACUUUUCUCCCAUGGGUGGGAUUCAAAGCGGUGUAUAACAUAUAAAAUUCAUGUAAAUAUAUCCAAAGACAAUACCUAAUCAGUUAAAGCAAGCAUGGGCAACUUCCGGCCAGUGCAGCUAUUUGUCAAAUAUUUAUUUUAGCUUCUGUUGUAAUGUAGGUUGUGUGCUGCAUGUGUCAAGUGUGUUUGUUGAGAGUUUGGGCUAAUCAAUGAAACGUACCUUAAAAAUAUUAGUAAUAUUGAUGUCAAUAUUAAUAAGAAUGACAAUAAUAUGGAUAUUAAAAAUACUACUAUCAACACUAUUAUUAUUAACAAUAUUUAUAAUGGGCUGUCGAAUGCUUUCAUGGCUGGAAUCACUGGGUUGUUGUGAGUUUUUUCCGGGCGGUCUGGCCAUGUUCCAGAAGCAUUCUCUCCUGACGUUUCACCCACAUCUAUUGAUUGGCAGGCAUCCAUAGAAGUGGGCGAAAG